rnacentral:misc_RNA from 1 species
AAGGUGCUGUAUUCGUAUCGCUACAACGGCAUCGAUUACACCAGUUCGCAGGCGUCCUACGACGGGCAGGUCUCAUCCACAUCGCGCUGGAUGAUGGAGCGUGUCGCGAAGAAAUAUCCCAACGGCAAGAGUGUCGAGGUUCACGUCAAUCCGGAAAAUCCGUCGCAGGCGGUGCUGGAGACGCGCACGCCCGGCAUCUGGAUUCUCUGGCUGUCUGCGAUCGCGAUCUGGGGCAUCGCGUAUUUCGUCGCGAUCAAGGGCUAGACG